GAUGAAGAACGUAGCGAAAUGCGACAAGUAAUGUGAAUUGCAGAAUUCCGUGAAUCAUCGAAUCUUUGAACGCACAUUGCGCCCUCUGGUAUUCUGGAGGGCAUGCCUGUCCGAGCGUCAUUACAACCCUCAAGCUCAGCUUGGUGUUGGGCCCCGCCGCCCCGGCGGGCCCUAAAGUCAGUGGCGGUGCCGUCCGGCUCCGAGCGUAGUAAUUCUUCUCGCUCUGGAGGUCCGGUCGUGUGCUCGCCAGCAACCCCCAAUUUUUUUCAGGUUGACCUCGGAUCAGGUAGGGAUACCCGCUGAACUUAAGCAUAUCAAUAAGCGGAGGA
rnacentral:misc_RNA from 1 species